AAACAUUAGUUGGCAAUUCACUGGUCACCAACUUACCAACUGGUUUGAUAUCUAUUGCAGCUGAUUAAUACAUAGCUUGGUUGCAACCCCAAACUAAAGCGUUAACCCGUGCAAUAAUGAUGGACCAAAAGAAGUCUGGGUCCUACUGACUCUCAGAGGACUUGGUGGCUGUUGUGCUCUUCUUAGAGGUCUCUGUACUGGACAAUAUUCAGACAAUGAGUUUUCAUCAGAGGUGAGAGAUGUGGGAGUCAUAGCUUUAGUAUAGGUGAUAGGUCAAUGGAGUCCGUCAGACUCCAUUAACACGUCAUGCUGCGUGCUGUGUGAUGCUGCACUGCUCUGCUCAUGGCAUGUCAAAAACUUAAAUCAACAUUCAACAAACGACAGAAGAGCCGAAGAAAACAGCUAAAUCAUCAUAAAAUGCCACCAAAGAAGCAAAAUCUUGGAGCUGAGAAGGGGUUGGAGGAAAUCAGAAAACCACUUGAUUUCAUGUCGGGCAAACUCAGCAGAGUGGCUGAAAAACUAGACAUGUUUAUGGAUGAGAUAAAACAACUGAAAAGCCUGAUAGAGAAGGGUGAGAAAAUAAAUAACUUGGAAUGGUGAGUCGAAGAUUUGGACCAAUACACAAGAAUGGAGGAUUUGAUUACUAGAAACUUUCCAUAGAUCAUAUACCAGAGCUGCUGCAGGUGGAGGUGGGUAGGACGCCCAACCAGAGGAGCAACAAACACUCAAGCAACAAGUUUUAUAAUUCCUUUAAAACGAACAAUGUGAGUCUUGAGAAUCAUCAUAUUUCAACUUCUUGCGUUUCCAAAAAAAAGGCAAGGUGAAGCCGGCAAAUUUUGUUUGACUCGUUUGAAGCCGCAAGACCAAAGCAGAUCUACUCAAACAAGCAAAGAACCCGAAGGGGACUAGUGUGUAACUAAACGAACAUCUAACAAGAAAGAACACCAAAAUCACCAGACAGGCACGAAACCUGAGAAAAGAAAAAAAGAUACAAGGAACUGUUAAGUAAUGAUAGAACUGUAUGAACACCAGAUGAAGCAGAAGUUACAAUGAUAGGAGAACUCAAGGAAAUGAAACAAUACAAGUAGAAGUGAUCGAGACCAUCAGUGAAGAAUCCCCUUGUGAAAGUGUGAAUGAGGGCUGUUUUGGACAAUGCUCUGCUCAGAGAGCAUUUCUGUGGAUUGUGAAUCAUCCUCCUCCUCAAUCUCCUCCUGCACUGUGGGCAGACCUGUGUAACCCCACAGGGUCUGUUGUUAUUGUUUCUCUCUCUGUCGUCAUCGACUGCUCAUCAUCAUUAAAGAUGAGUGGGCGAGCGGGGGCUUGCAUGGGUGGGACUUCAGGGCUUCUGGUAGACCAGGUAGCCUUGACAGACAAGCCACUGACUAAGCCUAUCAAUCGUCACCUCUGCGACUCUCUCUGUUGUGUUGUGUGUGUAGUGGCAUGUUUCCAGGCCAGCUGUAGAGUUACCAUAGUUACCGAGGCAAGGUGCAGUAAUAAAUAAAUAAAUAAACAAACGGCAGUUCUCCGGCCCUUUUUUGAUCAGCCCAUCAGAAAAGCUCCUGGUACUCCUGAUGGCCAGUCCACCCCUGCCAACAUUGACACAGCGACCCCAGACUUUGGUCUACAGUUACACACAACAGCAUAAUUCCUGUUUAUGUUUCUUUGCACAAGCCCUUAGUGUGUUUGGGCUAGAUUACGGAUUUUCCUGACUCCCUUUAUAGCUCUUAAAGCACUGUGUCAGUGAAUGGGAUGACAAGUGAAGAAAAGUUAAUGUGUUUGUGGAUCAAAGUGAAACGACAACCAUAGACUCUCAUGUGUGUUUGGUUAUUUUAGUCUAUUCAUACUUUGAAACUCCUGUUCCCUUUUUUCUACUACCAAACUCCGUGAGCUUUUCUAAGCUCACCUGUGCUUCUUACCUGCUCCACGUUAAAAGCAUGUUGACUUGACACUUCUGAGAACUUCGUCUGUUGUUUGAUUGACAUCUCUGACUCUCUUGUCAACUUUCUGUGCACGCGUCAGGGCGAAAAAUAAAAAUCCCACCAGUCAGUUGUACACUGACUCCAGAGAGCUCACGACACUCCCAGAGGAGCUGCACUCAUGUUAUGAAGUAAACAUGAGAAGGAUUAGACCUUAUGAAGUGAUUUUAGGGUCAACCAAAGGCACGUUCUAAUUUUUUUUUUCACACACUAGUCUGUGUACUCUAUUUUAGCAGCUAAAGGUGGGUUCAGUUUUGCAAACGCAACUCAUUUCUACACUGGUCUAUUCAAGAAAAAUACAUGUCUAAGCUCUCCAGUUAGAAAACAAUGCAUUUUUAAAGUGACGUGUUGACAGCUUUAUUUUGUUCAAGUAAUCCAUCAUUGUGUAGCAUUCAAGACAGCUGAUGAAACAACACCGGUCAGAGGAGCUCAGAAAUCAUGAUGCCAUAAUAGCUUUGGACGUGUGUGUGUGUGUGUGUGCACGUGCGUGUGUGUGUGUUUAACAUCGAGCUUUGUCAGUUGUGCACGUGAAAAAGCCUUCCAACUCCUCCUCUUUAAGCUCAUUUGUCCUCAUCUGUCCAAUGUUUCCUGUGUCUCCUUCUCUUGUUCACUUGGUCGACUCAAAUCAGAUUCACUGUCAUUACACACAUUCACACACGCACGUGCACAUGCACAUGCACGCACACAGUGUUGACUGUCCGCACUGUGUUACUGUCUCUUUUGGUCACUUCAAUCAAAUGAGGGGAAACAUUUUCCUCCUUGUCAGUGUUGCAACAUGAUCUCAUGGGACCACAAAACACACACACACGCACACGGACAGUGUGUCUCCCCCUUUGUCCCAGGUUAACUUAGCCUACAUCUAUCAGUCAUCCAUCAGCACACCCACAUUGUACAGAAGGAUAGAGGAGGUCAUGAAUGUUUAACCCUCCAUUACAUGAAGCAUGUUUUACCGUCCACACACACCCUGCUGCAGUCAUGGCGUGAUGAGUGAGCCUCAAUUUGUUGUUGUUGCUGUUUUCAGGUUGAUGAAAAGUCAAUGGGGACAUGGCGGAGGCAGUGGAGAGUGAGGGGCGCCUUUAAUUUCACCCCUCUGCUC